rnacentral:rRNA from 1 species
ACGACUGCUAUUUGGGUGAGGAUAAGCCAUGCGAGUUGAAUGGGAAACCUAAAGUUCCCAUGGCAAACUGCUCAGUAACACAUGAUCAACUUAACCUAUAGAGAAAAAUAACCUCGGGAAACUGAGGAUAAUGUUUCAUAGCUGAAUUGGCUUGGAAAAGAUUUUCAGUGAAAGGGAUAAAUAAAAUGGUUUUUAUCUGCUAUAGGAUAGGAUCGUGUUCGAUUAUGGUUGUUGGUGAGGUAAUGGCUCACCAAGCCGAUAAUCGAUAGGGGCCGUGAGAGCGGGAGCCCCGAGAUGGGUACUGAGACAACGACCCAGGCCUUACGAGGCGCAGCAGGCGCGAAACCUCCGCAAUACACGAAAAUGUGACGGGGUUACCCAAAGUAUUCAAUUUUGAACUGUGGUAGGUGAGUAAUGUUCCCUACUAGAAAGGAGAGGGCAAGGCUGGUGCCAGCCGCCGCGGUAAAACCAGCUCUUCAAGUGGUCGGGAUAAUUAUUGGGCUUAAAGUGUCCGUAGCCGGUUUAGUAAGUUCCUGGUAAAAUCGGGUAGCUUAACUAUCUAUAUGCUAGGAAUACUGCUAUACUAGAGGGCGGGAGAGGUCUGAGGUACUACAGGGGUAGGGGUGAAAUCUUAUAAUCCUUGUAGGACCACCAGUGGCGAAGGCGUCAGACUGGAACGUGCCUGACGGUGAGGGACGAAAGCCAGGGGAGCGAACCGGAUUAGAUACCCGGGUAGUCCUGGCCGUAAACGAUGCAUACUAGGUGAUGGCAUGGCCAUGAGCCGUGUCAGUGCCGCAGGGAAACCGUUAAGUGUGCCGCCUGGGAAGUACGGUCGCAAGGCUAAAAC